GUUACAUCAAAAGAUUCCUGUGGUUGCCACAUCUAUAUUUAAAAAUGAAAUCUUCUCAGUUAAUCGUGACAUUAUUCAAAUGUAAGAAUCACAGAAAUGGUUUUACCCAGCUAGCGGUGCAACGUGAAAGAAUAUUGACGUCAGUCUAUAUACCCCGCGGCGACUGGGACCGGAUCUUAUCCCAAUGAUGUCCGUGUGCGCGAAUGUCAUCAUAGAAUAAUUCAUGGCCAUUGUUUUUAUUUCCUAAAGAAAUUUCAUUGAAAUAACUAGUUUAGAUAUCAUGAUAGUAGUAAAUUUACACUUAGUGUAUGUUGCUCUACGAAGGUUUGUCCAUCUUAAAAGUAGAAAUUGCAACAUCCUGUAUAUAGAAUAUAGUUUUAAUAUCAGCUACUCACUUUAUAUCGAGUAAUCUGUUUUGCCAUGUAUUAGAUGUACAAAGUAAGUUUUAGAUUAAACGUUUUUCUACGUUCCUUAGCUAUUGAUGUAAGCAAGAAAUAAGAAAAUUUUAUCAAUUAAUAAACGCAACCAAAAUCAAAUAAGCAAAAAAAAAAGUUGAAUUGUUUAAAAAAGUUAUAGUUAAUGAAAUACAACUGAGGACAUGAGCCCAGAAAACAAAAAAAAAACAAUUGCUAUUUUAAACUUUUAUCAUUUCAUUAUUGUGAAUUAAUUUAAAUUGCCAAAACAAGUGAUAAAAGAACAAGAUAAAUUGAAAUAUUUUUUAUUGAUAUGGAAAAAUCUUGUUCUGAUUUGUUAUAUGAUGUAGACUGGUGAUGCAAUGUAAUAAAAUACUUGAAUCAA